UUGUUGGUAAGGUAAAAGCUUACCAAGGCUUCGAUCAGUAGCUGGUCUGAGAGGACGACCAGCCACACUGGGACUGAGACACGGCCCAGACUCCUACGGGAGGCAGCAGUGGGGAAUUUUGGACAAUGGGGGCAACCCUGAUCCAGCCAUGCCGCGUGAGUGAAGAAGGCCUUCGGGUUGUAAAGCUCUUUCAGCCGGAACGAAACGGUUACGGUUAAUACCCGUGAUUACUGACGGUACCGGAAGAAGAAGCACCGGCUAACUACGUGCCAGCAGCCGCGGUAAUACGUAGGGUGCGAGCGUUAAUCGGAAUUACUGGGCGUAAAGCGUGCGCAGGUGGUUUUGUAAGUCAGAUGUGAAAGCCCCGGGCUCAACCUGGGAACUGCGUUUGAAACUACAAGACUAGAGUGUGGCAGAGGGGGGUGGAAUUCCGCGUGUAGCAGUGAAAUGCGUAGAGAUGUGGAGGAACACCGAUGGCGAAGGCAGCCCCCUGGGUCAACACUGACGCUCAGGCACGAAAGCAUGGGGAGCAAACAGGAUUAGAUACCCUGGUAGUCCAUGCCCUAAACGAUGUCAACUAGUUGUCGGGCCUUUACGGGCUUGGUAACGUAGCUAACGCGUGAAGUUGACCGCCUGGGGAGUACGAUCGCAAGAUUAAAACUCAAAUGAAUUGACGGGGACCCGCACAAGCGGUGGAUUAUGUGGAUUAAUUCGAUGCAACGCGAAAAACCUUACCUACCCUUGACAUGUAUUGGAGCCCGCAGAGAUGUGGGUGUGCCCGAAAGGGAACGAUAACACAGGUGCUGCAUGGCUGUCGUCAGCUCGUGUCGUGAGAUGUUGGGUUAAGUCCCGCAACGAGCGCAACCCUUGUCAUUAAUUGCCAUCAUUUAGUUGGGCACUUUAAUGAGACCGCCGG
rnacentral:rRNA from 1 species